rnacentral:rRNA from 1 species
GACGAACCGAGCGAACGUUAUUCGGAAUACUGGGCUUAAAGGGUGCGUAGGCGGGCUGUCAAGUCUGGGGUGAAAUCCGGCAGCUUAACUGUCGAACUGCCUUAGAUACUGAUGGCCUCGAGGAAGGUAGGGGCUGCGGAACUGUAGGUGGAGCGGUGAAAUGCGUUGAUAUCCACAGGAACUCCGGUGGCGAAGGCGGCACGCUGGACCCCCACUGACGCUGAGGCGCGAAAGCCAGGGGAGCGAACGGG